rnacentral:rRNA from 1 species
CGAAGGGGGCUAGCGUUGUUCGGAUUUACUGGGCGUAAAGCGCGCGUAGGCGGAUCGUUAAGUCGGGGGUGAAAUCCUGGAGCUCAACUCCAGAACUGCCUUCGAUACUGGCGAUCUCGAGUCCGGAAGAGGUGAGUGGAACUCCUAGUGUAGAGGUGGAAUUCGUAGAUAUUAGGAAGAACACCAGUGGCGAAGGCGGCUCACUGGUCCGGUACUGACGCUGAUGUGCGAAAGCGUGGGGAGCAAACAGGAUUAGAUACCCUGGUAGUCCACGCCGUAAACUAUGAGAGCUAGCCGUUGGGGGAUUUAUCCCUCAGUGGCGCAGCUAACGCUUUAAGCUCUCCGCCUGGGGAGUACGGUCGCAAGAUUA